rnacentral:rRNA from 1 species
AUCGAACGCUAGCGGGAUGCCUUACACAUGCAAGUCGAACGGAGUGUCGAACGGGUGAGGAAUGUAUCGGAAGGUGCCCAGUAGUGGGGGAUAACUACGCUAAAGCGUAGCUAAUACCGCAUACUUUUGGAGCGGCCGAUAUCGGAUUAGCUAGUUGGUGGGGUAACGGCUCACCAAGGCGACGAUCCAUAGCUGGUCUGAGAGGACGACCAGCCACACUGGAACUGAGACACGGCCCAGACUCCUACGGGAGGCAGCAGUGGGGAAUCUUGGGCAAUGGGCGAAAGCCUGACGCAGCCAUCCCGCGUGUGCGAUGAAGGCCUUCGGAUUGUAAAGCACUUUUGGCAGGAAAGCGGUACCUGCAGAGUAAGCACCGGCUAACUACGUGCCAGCAGCCGCGGUAAUAC